rnacentral:rRNA from 1 species
CCUACGGGAGGCAGCAGUAGGGAAUAUUGCUCAAUGGGGGAAACCCUGAAGCAGCAACGCCGCGUGGAGGAUGAAGGUUCUCGGAUUGUUAACCCACUUUGUUAGAGAAGAUAAUGACGGUACCUAACGAAUAAGCACCGGCUAACUCCGUGCCAGCAGCCGCGGUAAUACGGAGGGUGCAAGCGUUACUCGGAAUCACUGGGCGUAAAGGGCGCGUAGGCGGGAUAGCAAGUCAGAUGUUAAAGCCUAUGGCUUAACCAUAGAACUGCAUUUGAAACUGUUAUUCUUGAGUAUGGGAGAGGUAGGUGGAAUUCUUGGUGUAGGGGUGAAAUCCGUAGAGAUCAAGAGGAAUACUCAUGGCGAAGGCGGCCUGCUGGAACAUAACUGACGCUGAUGCUCGAAAGCGUGGGGAGCAAACAGGAUUAGAUACCCGAGUAGUC